rnacentral:lncRNA from 1 species
CAUUUUUGAGAAGACACCCACAUUUUCAGCUUAUGUUUCUCCUUUGUGUUUUCAGAUUGUUCACUUCCUUUGGUAUUUCUAGAACUCAACUGCAGGAAGACAACUAUGCUUGAGGAUGCCAGUAAAGCAAGGAUAAAGAAUCAUAUACCAGGUGGAUGAAGAAAAGUGCAGGCCAAAUUGAGGAGAAAACUAAUGGGAACCACAUGGCAGCCAUUAUCUAGUUUAAAGAACAGUAGAUCAGCCUCUGGAGACCCAGAUUUCUUUCUGUCUCUGCCUAUAACUCACUGUGUGAACUCAGGUAAGCAGCUUAACUUCUCUGGGCUUUCUGAGUCUGAAUUUCUCACUGAUAUUCCUAUUGCCUUCUCUUACAGCAUUUUCUAUCAGUCUUUGGAACUAUUUAAAUGCUUUAUUUGAAUAAGUUUAAAUAUAUGCAUAGUACAGUGCUUAAGUACACGGACUCUGGGGUCAGUCUGACUAGCUCCCGCACAUACUAGCACUAGGAAGGUACGCAAAUUACCUAACUUGCCUGUACUUAGCUCUACUUAUUUGAGAAAUGGGGAUAAAAGGAUCUACUUUGUAUAGUUAUUAGGAGGAUUAAAAAAUGGCUAACACACCUGCAGCAUUUGAAAUCAUGCCUAGCACAGGGUAUAAGCCCCAUAAGGGAUAUGGAGAUGAAUACCUUUUUAAAGAGACUACAGUUUACUGGAGGAGAUUAAGACAUACACCAAAUAACAAGGAAGAGUAUGAUACAUAUUCCAUAGAGAAGAAAUUUUAGAACCUGAUGGACCACAGAGGAAGGAAUGAUUAAUUCCUAAUGAAAGGACCAAGGAGGGUCUCAUGAAUUAGGUCAAUAUCAUCCAGAGCAGGAGGAGUGAGCUGGCUAUCAAGGGAAGGGUUUCUUGAUAGAAGAAGUAAAAAGAGGCAGGGUGAAAAAAAUUCAGAAAGUACCCGAUGUGCAGCUCUUUUUAGCUGCAGUAUUGAUGCUGAGUGAGGGUGUGUACUGAGAGUUGAAGUUAAGAAAGGGACCUGGGAUGAGAUCAGUGAGGAGUUUAGGAGUAGGCGGUUGACGCUACCAGUAUUAAGAAGCACUGAAGGUCACUGGAGCUGAUAUCAUGCCACUUGUGAGCUAGGAAAGUCUCAGGUGGUUCCGUCAAGGUGAAGGUAGUGGAAAGAGAAACUAGAGUCAGGGAGAACAUUUAAGGGCCACAGGAACAGUCUAGUGAGAGAUUGUAAGGGUCUAAAUUGGGGAAGUGGUUGUUGGGGUCAAGAGAAGGGCUAGAAUUGGGAGCUGGGAAGGUAGGUGCUAUCUUAUAAACUCUCCUACCUGCCCAUCCUUUCUUUUUACUCUCCACUCUAGUUCUUUCUGCCUGUCCUCCCCGCUCCUCUGGCAUUCUCUCUAUGGUGAUCUACCUGUGCUCAGUGGCCCACAUGUAUCUAGUCAUAGAAGGGUUCAAAUGGCAAGCCCUCAGUGAACUAAGAAGCCAGGAGCUUGUAUUCCCGCAUAUUUAAGGGAGAGGAUGUUUGAGCAGAAAACAACCACACAACAAAUAGCUUUUGUUUAUGUGGGGAGAGGUUUUCAAGCAAUAAUUAAUCUGAAAGGCUUCCUUUCCUUGCAGGAAUCCAACGACUGAAAGGUGCAUUUAAGUCUCUUCAUUAUAUAUCUGCCAUGGAUAGUGCAUAGCAGGAGUUGUGUGUGUGUGGCGGGGGUAGAUUUCAUAAUACAGCAUUUGUGGUGUGGAGAACACUCUUAUCAUUGUCUGGGUUUGUGUCAUAGCAAAUAGGAAAGGGACCAUUUAGAUCGAAAGAAAUAACUAUUAUAGACAGUACCUAUGUGUUGCAGGGUAGACGUUCUCUCUACUUGAAAGAAUGCCUUAUAAGCAAUUGAAGGUCAUUAAUUAGUUAUACCUGGUUGGAUAAAAGAAGGUGAAAUUCAGGAAUCUGUGCAAAGUACAAAUCAGAAACCAGUCAGUGAAUACUGCAACAGAAUAACAAAAGGAGAUCAGAACCAGGUAGAAACAAAGUUAAUAAUUUUAGAGUGACAAUGGUGCCCUGGUGAAAAGAGACUGUUAAUGUAUCCCAGAACCACAAUGUCCCAAUUAUUCUCCACUGACAUAUGUGGUAUGCACAUGUGCAUCUACGUAUCUAUGUAUCUAAUCUAUCUAUAUUUGCAUAGGUGUAGAUACAUCAUAUAACACAUAAUAUAUAUAAGUAAAAGAUAAUUCAUUCAUUCAACAAGUGUUUGCUGAACACUUACUGUGUGCCAGACAUUCUCCUAGGUACUACAGAUAAAACAUCCAACAAAAACAGACCAUAUCCUAAAGAGCUUAUAUUUAGUAGGGGAGACAGACAAGAAAUACCCAUGAAGUCAGGUGACGAUAGGUACUAAGAAAAAAAAAGAGAACACAUUAAGUGGCGAAUGAGAGGUAGAGGGAAGGCUGUGUUUUGUUUAUUAUGUUAGGACGGCCUCCUUAGUAAGGCAAAUAUUUGAGGGGAGACUUGCAGAGACCUGGGAAAGAAAAGUAGUCCAGUCAGAGGGGAUAGGAAGUGAUGAGCUCUGAGGAGAUGUCUUGGUGUUAUUGAGGAACAACAAUGAGGCAGGGUAGUGGGAGGAGAGGGAGGGAGAAGGGAAUGGUAGAUGCGGUCAGAGGAGUAGCUAGGUCUUUCAUGACCUCCUAGAGCAUAGUAAAGACUUUGGAUUUUACUCUGAGUGAGCUGGGAGGCUUCUAGAGGCUUAUUAUAAUGCUAAUCACAUAGGGUUAAUUUUACUACUUCCAUCUAGAACUUUAUGAUUCCAUUUUUGCAUCUAUACAUUUCUAAAAUUAGGCAGGUCACCAUCUAGCCCUCUUUUGUCCUGCUGGCUUCUUUCUCAUCCAUAGUGCUUCAGCAAAGGCAGCUCUGGAUUCUGUUCUGGUGCCUGCCACUGAAUCCUUGGAUAGUUUCAGUAAGUUACCCUUCUUAUUCGGUUCUCCUAUCAAAAAAAUAAAAUAAUAAAAUAAAAUAAAAUAAAAUCAGAAUACUUUCACCAAACUCAUGUUAUUAAAGAUUUAACAAGAAAAAAAGAAAAAGGUCACAACUCAUAUUCCUCAUCUUUACACAAUCGCCAAAGGGCUUAGUAUGCAGUAGGCACACAAUAAAGACUUGCAGCAUUGAAUUAGAAAGUUAAAUAAGGGGAUUUGUAAAAUGCUAAGUUUCUUUAGCACUAUUUUACUCAUUGAGCUC